AACCUGGAGCUUGCUCUAGGGAAUUAGUGGCGAACGGGUGAGUAACACGUGAGUAACCUGCCCUUGACUCUGGGAUAACCUCCGGAAACGGAAGCUAAUACCGGAUACGACGUACGGAGGCAUCUCCUGUACGUGGAAAGAACUUCGGUCAAGGAUGGACUCGCGGCCUAUCAGGUAGUUGGUGAGGUAACGGCUCACCAAGCCUACGACGGGUAGCCGGCCUGAGAGGGUGACCGGCCACACUGGGACUGAGACACGGCCCAGACUCCUACGGGAGGCAGCAGUGGGGAAUAUUGCACAAUGGGCGCAAGCCUGAUGCAGCAACGCCGCGUGAGGGAUGACGGCCUUCGGGUUGUAAACCUCUUUUAGUAGGGAAGAAGCGAAAGUGACGGUACCUGCAGAAAAAGCACCGGCUAACUACGUGCCAGCAGCCGCGGUAAUACGUAGGGUGCGAGCGUUGUCCGGAAUUAUUGGGCGUAAAGAGCUCGUAGGCGGUCUGUCGCGUCUGCUGUGAAAACCCGAGGCUCAACCUCGGGCCUGCAGUGGGUACGGGCAGACUAGAGUGCGGUAGGGGAGAAUGGAAUUCCUGGUGUAGCGGUGGAAUGCGCAGAUAUCAGGAGGAACACCGAUGGCGAAGGCAGUUCUCUGGGCCGUAACUGACGCUGAGGAGCGAAAGCGUGGGGAGCGAACAGGAUUAGAUACCCUGGUAGUCCACGCCGUAAACGUUGGGCGCUAGAUGUGGGGACCAU
rnacentral:rRNA from 1 species